GCGGAGGGCGCUGCAAGUCCCGCGGUGCUGGCGGGCUCGUGAUUCCCGGCGCCGGGAAGCAGGGCGCUGAGUAGCGGGUGCCUGAGAGUCCAACCGGCAGUGUAGACGCGACACCGCCGUCAGGUGGCCUCGGCAGGCUCCCUAUAGCUCUCGAGGACACGACCUCGAACGCCCAGGUCGCUGUAAGACCGGCCUUUGGGGCCACAGCGCGCACACGUCACACCGUUUGCGGAUUUCGCCUAAGAGCGAGUCCGCGCCCAGUUGCCGCGCUGCGGUUUUUUCCGCGACGCAGUCUCUCGCCCUCCCCCCUUCCCGGCACCUUUCCAACUAGUCCCAUGUUACUGCGGGAGUAUUUCCAUUUUAUUCACGUAAUAAUCCUUUAGAGAGAACGAAAGAAUGUGAUUGCAAACGCAUGUUACUGCAAAC
rnacentral:lncRNA from 1 species